rnacentral:lncRNA from 1 species
CAAGCCUGGACUCUGCAUCCUCCUGCUGUCUUCAGUUUCCUCACCUCUUAACACAGGGUAAUGAGCUCUCCCUACGUUCCUCCACUGCUGACCGCUAUAAGGAGUGACCGUGAGAAUGUAAGACAGGCUGCUUUGUUAGGCAGGAUGCGUAUGUGAAGAGUAUUAUUCUAAAUAAUAUUAAUGAGACAGAACCCUGUUUACUCUCUUUGGAGGCAAACAAGAUUCUGAAGUGGUAAUGAGGGAACAUUUCUUCCUUUUGAUCUGCGCAUAAGCCUGGUCUUACCACACAAAGAGAAUUCUAGUCAUGGGGGCAUAUUAGACCUUGUUACAGGACCUGUGAAAGGGCUCUGUGAAACAACUUAAAAACAAGAAAAUUUCUUCUUAAUAAGAAAAGAAAAUCGGGGACUGGCCUAUCACAGGAAAAUAAUGGAUAGUGAGAGGAAAUUCUCUUGUAAAAACCAUUUCAUUAGCUUUAUAGGAAUACAGGAAAUGUCAUGGCUUCCCACAUUUGUGAGAGACCCAUGAAAGAUUGUUUUUUAUCUGCUCCAGAUCCCUACUCUAAGCCAUCCACGAUGAGGAAAAGUUAAAUACAGUUAGUGCACAGGGAUUCAUUUUAUGAGGCUGUGCCCAAAGAUAAAGGCUCUCAGGGGAAAUUUGUGGAAGGCAAAGACAAUGAUAUUUUUAAUGACAGCAGGACAGUAGCAUUGAUCACAUCAGAAUGCAUAUUUGAGAGUUAAAAUGUGAAGCUCUGUCCAGUGGGAAUGGCACUGGGGACCACUGAUUUUUAGGAAACUUUACUAAGUCACAAAAGGAAGUGUUGAAGAAUGUGGGGUGAUUGCUGUUACAAUAUGUUACUACAUUGAAUGAUUUUAUUUACUUGAGACAAGAUCUCACUCUGUCACCCAGCCUAGAGCACAGUGGUACAAUCAUGGCUCACUGUAGCCUUGACCUCCUGGGCCCAAGCUAUCCUCCCCGCUCAGACUCUCGAG